rnacentral:rRNA from 1 species
GAUGAACGCUGGCGGCGUGCCUAACACAUGCAAGUCGAACGGAAAGGCCCUGCUUUUGUGGGGUGCUCGAGUGGCGAACGGGUGUGUAACACGUGAGUAACCCGUCCUUGACUUUGGGAUAACACUAGGAAACUGGGGCUAAUACCGGAUAGGAGCUCCUGCUGCACGGUGGGGGUUGGAAAGUGUCGGCGGUUGGGGAUGGACUCGCGGCUUAUCCGCUUGUUGGUGGAGUAGUGGUUUACCAAGCCUUCGACGGGUAGCCGGCCUGGGAGGGUAGACAGCCACAAGGGGACUAAGGGACGGCGCAGACGCCAACGGGAGGCAGCGGUGGGGAAUAUUACGCAGUGGGCCGAAGCCUGAUACGACGACGCCGCGUGCGGGAUGACGGCCUUCGGGUUGUGAACCGCUUUCGCAUGUGACGAAGCGUGAGUGACGGUAAUGGGUCAAGAAGCACCGGCUAACUACGUG